rnacentral:rRNA from 1 species
UACAGAGGGGGCGAGCGUUGUUCGGAAUUACUGGGCGUAAAGGGCGCGUAGGCGGCCUUCUAAGUCGAACGUGAAAUCCCCGGCUCAACCCGGGAACUGCGUCCGAUACUGGGAGGCUUGAAUCCGGGAGAGGGAUGUGGAAUUCCAGGUGUAGCGGUGAAAUGCGUAGAUAUCUGGAGGAACACCGGUGGCGAAGGCGGCAUCCUGGACCGGUAUUGACGCUGAGGCGCGAAAGCCAGGGGAGCAAAGCGGG